rnacentral:rRNA from 1 species
AGUGAACGCUGGCGGUAGGCCUAACACAUGCAAGUCGAACGGCAGCACAGUAAGAGCUUGCUCUUACGGGUGGCGAGUGGCGGACGGGUGAGGAAUACAUCGGAAUCUACUUUUUCGCGGGGGAUAACGUAGGGAAACUUACGCUAAUACCGCAUACGACCUACGGGUGAAAGCAGGGGAUCUUCGGACCUUGCGCGAUUGAAUGAGCCGAUGUCGGAUUAGCUAGUUGGCGGGGUAAAGGCCCACCAAGGCGACGAUCCGUAGCUGGUCUGAGAGGAUGAUCAGCCACACUGGAACUGAGACACGGUCCAGACUCCUACGGGAGGCAGCAGUGGGGAAUAUUGGACAAUGGGCGCAAGCCUGAUCCAGCCAUACCGCGUGGGUGAAGAAGGCCUUCGGGUUGUAAAGCCCUUUUGUUGGGAAAGAAAAGCGGCAGGUUAAUACCCCGCUGUUCUGACGGUACCCAAAGAAUAAGCACCGGCUAACUUCGUG